UAAUUCUUACAGCAUGUCGAUUUGGAUUGUUGAAACCCGCAGCCUUUGGCAACCGAGUUUCCGUCUAAACAUAGCUAGUUGGUUACUAUAAUUACACGUCAAUUAAGUAAGCACUACCUUGGCUUUCACAUCACAUGCGAAAAUGAAUGAUCUUAUCCGCUUUCUUCUCAUCAAUGCAACUGUUCCAAAUAAUUCACUGCAAAAGAGCAAACAUUCAAUAUUGGAAAAGGACCUUUUUUUUUUCUUUAAUUUUGGAAUAUUAAUAUUGCUAAAUUCUAAGACGAUUUAUCUAUUACCAAUAUUAUAUGUGAGAAACGUUGAAAAAUAAGCUUAGAAUGCGGAAAAUGGAGAUAUCUUACUUAUCCUCCAACUGCUUGUUUGAAGGCUUUUGACUAUGGUCAAGGGUAAUGCAUUUCUGUCUAUAGGUGAUAUACUCAGUCAAGAAUCAAGAUAAGUGAUUUAUAAGUUGCAUUCUUGACAAGACAAGGGACGUCCAGAUGAUGGUUCUCUGAGUCUACAUGAGCUACUCUCCCGGGGUGGGGUGUUUUGUUUUUGACUUUGUCAUGAAUCUCAUACUUAUUGGGUCGAUUUUUGUUAUUUUUUUUUCUUACUCUUAGUUAGUACUAGAUCCUUACAUAAAGCAAAAGCUUACUAUAUUUGAAUAGACGGUAUGGUUUUGACAUUUUUUGACUGUGUAUUUAGGUAUAUUUUUAUAAUUUAGCUAAUAGAAUGUAGUUUAAUAUGCA
rnacentral:lncRNA from 1 species